GAUGAACGCUGGCGGCGUGCCUAAUACAUGCAAGUCGAGCGAACGGACGAGAAGCUUGCUUUUCUGAUGUUAGCGGCGGACGGGUGAGUAACACGUGGAUAACCUACCUAUAAGACUGGGAUAACUUCGGGAAACCGGAGCUAAUACCGGAUAAUAUUUUGAACCGCAUGGUUCAAAAGUGAAAGACGGUCUUGCUGUCACUUAUAGAUGGAUCCGCGCUGCAUUAGCUAGUUGGUAAGGUAACGGCUUACCAAGGCAACGAUGCAUAGCCGACCUGAGAGGGUGAUCGGCCACACUGGAACUGAGACACGGUCCAGACUCCUACGGGAGGCAGCAGUAGGGAAUCUUCCGCAAUAGGCGAAAGCCUGACGGAGCAACGCCGCGUGAGUGAUGAAGGUCUUCGGAUCGUAAAACUCUGUUAUUAGGGAAGAACAUAUGUGUAAGUAACUGUGCACAUCUUGACGGUACCUAAUCAGAAAGCCACGGCUAACUACGUG
rnacentral:rRNA from 1 species